AUGUUACUCACUUCGUCUCAAAAUUCUUGUCUUAAAUUAGUCUAAAUAUAGAUAUAUCUAAUACCAAAACAUGACUUGAUACAUCCAUAUUUAGAUAAAUCUAAGACAAUAAUAUUGGGACGGAGGAAGUACUUU
rfam:Triticum aestivum genome assembly, contig: Triticum_aestivum_CS42_TGACv1_scaffold_000386_1AL